GGGGAUAUAGCUCAGCUGGGAGAGCGCUUGAAUGGCAUUCAAGAGGUCAGGGGUUCGAUUCCCCUUAUCUCCACCA
rnacentral:tRNA from 8 species